rnacentral:lncRNA from 1 species
GGGGGGGGUACAACACUGCUGGCUCAUUUCAAACAACUUUUUGUAAAGCUUUUCUUUAGUAACCGAACAUGGAGUGGGGUUGAUCCUACCCAAAGGAUCCAAGUUUUUAUCGCUAUCGGACUCCCCGUCCGCCAUAGCGCAUGGCACGACUGUCGGACUCUUCCAAAAUCCAACACACACGCACACACGCACACAUGACCAUCUAUGCCCAAGUGCUAGUUAUGUGACCAAGCCGUAACUCGUUCAAUG